rnacentral:rRNA from 1 species
UCUACGGGUGGCAGCAGUGGGGAAUAUUGCACAAUGGGGGAAACCCUGAUGCAGCAACGCCGCGUGGGUGAAGAAGUAUUUCGGUAUGUAAAGCCCUAUCAGCAGGGAAGAGAAUGACGGUACCUGACUACGAAGCCCCGGCUAACUACUUGCCAGCAGCCGCGGUAAUACGUAGGGGGCAAGCGUUAUCCGGAUUUACUGGGUGUAAAGGGAGCGUAGACGGUUUGGCAAGUCUGAAGGGAAAGCCGGCGGCUCAACUGCGGAACGGCUUUGGAAACUGGGUAACUGGAGUGCUGGAGAGGUAAGGGGAAUUCCUGGGGGAGCGGUGAAAGGCGGAGAGAUCAGGAGGAAAACCAGCGGAGAAGGCGGGUUACGGGACAGGAACUGACGUUGAGGAUCGAAAGCGUGGGGAGCAAACAGGAUUAGAUACCCUAGGAGUC